rnacentral:rRNA from 1 species
GACGAACGCUGGCGGCGUGCCUAAUACAUGCAAGUUGAGCGCUGAAGGUUGGUACUUGUACCAACUGGAUGAGCAGCGAACGGGUGAGUAACGCGUGGGGAAUCUGCCUUUGAGCGGGGGACAACAUUUGGAAACGAAUGCUAAUACCGCAUAAAAACUUUAAACACAAGUUUUAAGUUUGAAAGAUGCAAUUGCAUCACUCAAAGAUGAUCCCGCGCUGUAUUAGCUAGUUGGUGAGGUAAAGGCUCACCAAGGCGAUGAUACAUAGCCGACCUGAGAGGGUGAUCGGCCACAUUGGGACUGAGACACGGCCCAAACUCCUACGGGAGGCAGCAGUAGGGAAUCUUCGGCAAUGGACGAAAGUCUGACCGAGCAACGCCGCGUGAAUGAAGAAGGUUUUCGGAUCGUAAAACUCUGUUGGUAGAGAAGAACGUUGGUGAGAGUGGAAAGCUCAUCAAGUGACGGUAACUACCCAGAAAGGGACGGCUAACUACGUG